rnacentral:rRNA from 1 species
AGCGAACGCUGGCGGCGUACUUAACACAUGCAAGUCGAACGGGGAUCGUCGGGUUAGCAAUAAUUCGGCGGUCCUAGUGGCGCACGGGUGAGUAACACGUGGGUAACCUGCCCUUGAGUUCGGGAUACCCCCUCGAAAGGGGGCUAAUACCGGAUACGUUCCUCGGAUCGACAGGUCUGGGGAGGAAAGGUGGCGCAAGCUGCCGCUCUUGGAGGGGCUCGCGGCCUAUCAGCUAGUUGGCGGGGUAACGGCCCACCAAGGCUAUGACGGGUAGCUGGUCUGAGAGGACGACCAGUCACACGGGGACUGAGACACGGCCCCCGACUCCUACGGGAGGCAGCAGUGGGGAAUUUUCCGCAAUGGGC